AAAUAAAACAAAUAAUGAAAAAAAGUUCAGCAUGAAGAUGUCUUGUGUCAGCCUAGCAAACCUCCUAUCAACAUCUUCUCCCAUGAUGGCUACAUCAACACUUACAACAGCGGAGCAGGGCAUCGACACAUUGUUCCGGACGAGUCGCUCAAACUGACUCUUGUAUUAAUGUGACUGACCUCAAUAUGUUGCUUUCCAAUAAUGUGAACCUUACACCAGAUUAGCUGUCUGCGAUUGACGCAAUUCAACAACAGUUGUUGUCGGGAAUUCCCGGCUUUGGGAUGGCAUUUUGGCGUCGGGACUCCAUCUCUGCCUUGGGCCUGGUUGCAGCUAAAUAGCGGGUUCCUAGAGGACUUCAUUCAAUAAUUGAUCGGUACAAGGCUGAACAACAGACUCUCUGGUCAGCUAGGCCCAGACCCCCAGGCACACUUCCUGGGUUUGGGGAUGAUUUGCUCUUGGCCCAGGACCUUGGGGCAAAUGCUCAACGAGUCCUAUCCGCAGGGUGCAGCCAGUCUAAACCUGGGGCUCCAACCUUUCCUGCCCAGGUGUCGAGAUUACCUCAUCCACAAAGUAAAUUGGGGCCUUAUCCUCAUAAGAUCAAGCCCAGAGAACUACGUUGACCAACUGCAACUCAGCCACUUUCUCUCAAUAGGUAAGUCCCCUUGCCGUUGCAAAAGGAGUCACUGUGACAAAGCAUUCAGGAGACCCAGUCUUAAUAUUCUAAGACUUUUGAUGCAGUCAAU